CAAUAGCGUAUAUUAACGUUGUUGCAGUUAAAAAGCUCGUAGUUGGAUUUCUGGAGGGAGCGUCGGCCCGUAUUUACGAGUGCGUGACGUCUCUGUCCAUCCUUGCGGGAAGGCACGGCAUUGAUUUGUUGUGUCGGAUCGCAUCAUUUACUGUGAAAAAAUUAGAGUGUUCAAAGCAGGCUUUCGCUUGAAUACAUUAGCAUGGAAUAAUAAGAUAGGACUCUGGUGCUAUUUUGUUGGUUGAGCCUAAAGUAAUGAUUAAUAGGGAUAGUUGGGGGCACCUGUAUUGCGUUGUCAGAGGUGAAAUUCUUGGAUUUACGCAAGACAAACAGCUGCGAAAGCGUCUGCCAAGGAUGUUUUCAUUA
rnacentral:rRNA from 1 species